CGCAGGAGGAGGCGGAGCCCGGCGAGCGGAGGGCGGGGCCGGCGGCGGGUGAGCGCGCGGACUCCAACCCCCAGCAUGCACCGCGGUGGGGGCGCGCGGCCGGGCACGAGCCCGUUCGGAGGCCGUGGGAAAAAUCCAGCUCCACCUUGCCCAGGAUGAAAUCGGCCGUCCCGGCCGCCCCCCCCGAGCCCCACAGUGAGCUGGACCUGGAACGGUUCAAACUGG